UACAGAGGUCUCAAGCGUUGUUCGGAUUCACUGGGCGUAAAGGGUGCGUAGGCGGUCGGGUAAGUCUGAUGUGAAAUCUCACAGCUUAACUGUGAAACUGCAUUGGAUACUAUUCGGCUUGAGAGUUGGAGGGGGGACUGGAAUUCUUGGUGUAGCAGUGAAAUGCGUAGAUAUCAAGAGGAACACCAGUGGCGAAGGCGAGUCCCCUGGACAACUUCUGACGCUGAGGCACGAAAGCUAGGGGAGCAAACAGG
rnacentral:rRNA from 1 species